rnacentral:rRNA from 1 species
GCGAUCCUACGGGGCGCAGCAGUAGGGAAUUUUCGUCAAUGGGCGCAAGCCUGAACGAGCAAUGCCGCGUGAACGAGGAAGGUCUUCGGAUCGUAAAGUUCUGUUGAAGGGGAAAAAGAGCGGAGAGAGGAAAUGAACUCCGAUUGAUAUUACCCUUCGAGGAAGUCACGGCUAACUACGUGCCAGCAGCCGCGGUAAUACGUAGGUGGCAAGCGUUAUCCGGAUUUAUUGGGUGUAAAGGGCGUGU